UUGACGCACAAUUAUCUUUAUAAUAACAACAACAGCCACCGAGCUCCUCGAACGAAUUCAAUACCAAUAUCUCCUCUGGAUAAUUAAUGAAGGCAAUUUAAAAACAGUUUAGUUGUUUCAGUUCCUUCCGAGGCGCCAAAGACUAAACACUGGGCGAACCAGAGGAGAGGGAGCGAAUCAAGAUGGCGAUUGGACAUGCAGGCAAACGCAACAAUGUUCUUUCAUCUGUGCUGCUCCAAAUCCUGCUGUAUCUCUCAGCAGCUUUCAGUGUGUUUUACUUCCUGUCCACCCUCUCCAUGAUCAUCUACAAGACUCAUGUGUUGAGUUAUCCUGUUGGCCGACUCACGCUAGACGUGUGUUUGCUGUUUCUUAUGGCCGGUUUUGAGGUCCUGAGGGUGUACUGGGGAGUCAGGGGUAACCUACAGGAGAGCGAGGGCUACACAGGUUCGAAUCUGAUCGCCACAGGGGCCACGGUGCUGCUGGCGCUCUAUUUUGUCAUUUGGCAGUCGUACGUUCUGCGAGCUGAUGUCAUCAUUGGCGCCAUCUUGCUCUGCUUGUACGGCCUGACUGGAAUUGUGGGCCUCGGGACGCUGGCACGCUUCACCAGUGCUUACUCCUGACUCACAACAUCUCUGUGGCUCUACAGCUGAUAGGCUGCCGGAGAUUUUAAUUGCUAUGCAACGGACUACGGUUUCCUUAUCUAUUUGCUUGUACUGGCUGGAUGGAGCUCUGACACCAGGGUGGAUGAAAUGGGGAGCUCUGAUACGUGGAAAUCUGGGGCAGCCAUAACAUGAACACCUGCCACUGGGACAGAUGAGAUCUGGCAUUUGAACAGCCACUGAGGCAGCCGUGACACAAACUUCUAGGACCAGGCAGUUAUGACAGGAAGCCUGGAAACCAGGGUGGCUGAGUUGAGGAUAUCUGGGAUUGAGAUGACCGUGAGACAACAGCAGGAGCCUUUGAAUUGUCUGUGGCAGGAAUUACUUGGGCUGCAAAAACUAGGAGUACUGAGACAGAGCUCUGAAGCAGCCAUGACAAGGAACCUGGGCAGGAACCUCUUGAGUGACUGGAGCAGACAUGAGGUGGCCAUCACAGAAACCUUUCGAGUGGCCAUAGGAGGAAUCUCUGAGGUUGGACAGACUGGAAUAUCUGGGACCAAAUGGCCUUUGGUGCUUGCUCUGCCUGGGGCCCUUGCAGGAAUAUCUGUGGAGGCAACAACACUGUUAAGGUGCCUGUGUCAGGACUUGCUGGGAUUACUGGCAUUGAGGAGGCAUUGACAGAAUGGUCUGGAAACCUCUUUAGUACCUGUGGGUGGCCAUGAUGGGGAAAACAACACCCAAAAGAAGGAUGUACACAUCCCUCCGGGAGCAGUACCGCCAGACGCAAAUACUGCUCCCUCAAGCCAAAACGCAAGAUGCAACUCAAGGCUUGCUCGCCCCGAAAAGAUGCAAAGGCGAGAGGAGGGAUGGAAGCGUCUCCCAUUGCAUCCCUCCGGGAGCAGUACUGCCAGACGCAAAUACUGCUCCCUCAAGCCAAGGCGCAAGACGCAACUCAAGGCUUGCUCGCCCCGCAGGACGCAAAGGCGAGAGGAGGGAUGCAAGCGUCUCCCAUCGCAGCCCACAAGACGCCAAGCUGCCACGAGAGACACCAACUGGAGUGGCCUUAUGCAGCGACCUGAAACGAAACAGAAAUAAGACUUGGCAAUGUCAUCCCAUGAGAAAACUAAUUGCUUUUUAGCCAAUCUUAGGUUCACUACCUUAAACCAGUUGUGGUACAGGAUUAGCCCAAGUCCAAGUCGUCGACUUGGCUUGUCCUGCAGGAGAGCCCUGAGUAGAUGACAGCAUUCUGUGCAGGAAGACGGGAGGGACGUAUGAUUGUUGCCUUAAACUGCUCUAUUUGAUCAUGUUAAGAUCUGAUUUUGAAUCAUUAACUCACCGGAUGACAGGCCGGGUUUGGACCAGAGCUUCCUUUUCAGGAGCAGCAGGUCAUAGUCACUAGGGUAAUGUCCAGUUAACAUUACGAACAUUAAAACCCCUAGUGACCAUGCCGUCGCCUGCCUGCCAUAAUAUAUCCCCCUUUCAUGGUACUCAGGAGGGGAGUACACUGCUGUGCCUGGAGGAAAGAGAUUUUGUCUGAUUUUGUCUCAUAACUCAUGAAGCACCAAACUGCAGCUUUGAGUGACAACACUUACCAGAGUAUGACCUGUAUGGUGAACUCCUCAACAUGUCCCCACAUCCGAAGUCAAUAAGCUUGACUUCGGACGUCUCGCUGUUAAUUAGUAAGUUGCUCAGUUUUAUGUCCCGGUGGAGGACUCCACGAAGGCAGCACAUGUUUGCGGCUUGAGCCGCCUGCCGCAUGAUCUGACUUGCUUUCUCUUCGUCAAGUCUUCCACCGUGACGCCUCAUGAACUGAACAAGAUCCUCACAGGGAGAGGGACAUUCGAGGACCAUUACGAAGUGGUCAGGGUGGUCCUGCCAGUCCAGCAGCCUGAUGAUCUCUGGCGCACUUGGACCUUUAUUCGCCAGGAUGGUGAGGGCGAUCUCUACUGGAAGGGGGUUUGGAUGAUCAGGCUAGAAGACAAACAGUUUAUAUCAUCAAUAGAUGGAGAUCAUCAUCCAAACGUCUCCCUUCAUACACCACACCAAAACCACCUUUCCCAAGCUGAUCGCCAACACUGUAGCGGCUGAAGAUGUAGUCUAUUAAAUGAUAAAAAAACAUUCACAGAAGUCAGAGGAGUUUCUUUUGACAUGCAACAUUUAAUCCAAAACUACUCCAAAUUUAAUAGAGAAUAUACUGAAUAUUUAGAGUUUCAACAUUUGUACAUAUAGACAUGUAAUGUUUUUAACGUGUCAUGGAAUAAAGAUCUCAUCAUGGCAUCGA